AGGGGAGUGAAAAAGAACCUGAAACCGUGUACGUACAAGCAGUGGGAGCCUCUUAAUGGGGUGACUGCGUACCUUUUGUAUAAUGGGUCAGCGACUUAUAUUCUGUAGCAAGGUUAACCGAAUAGGGGAGCCGAAGGGAAACCGAGUCUUAACUGGGCGUUAAGUUGCAGGGUAUAGACCCGAAACCCGGUGAUCUAGCCAUGGGCAGGUUGAAGGUUGGGUAACACUAACUGGAGGACCGAACCGACUAAUGUUGAAAAAUUAGCGGAUGACUUGUGGCUGGGGGUGAAAGGCCAAUCAAACCGGGAGAUAGCUGGUUCUCCCCGAAAGCUAUUUAGGUAGCGCCUCGUGAAUUCAUCUCCGGGGGUAGAGCACUGUUUCGGCAAGGGGGUCAUCCCGACUUACCAACCCGAUGCAAACUGCGAAUACCGGAGAAUGUUAUCACGGGAGACACACGGCGGGUGCUAACGUCCGUCGUGAAGAGGGAAACAACCCAGACCGCCAGCUAAGGUCCCAAAGUCAUGGUUAAGUGGGAAACGAUGUGGGAAGGCCCAGACAGCCAGGAUGUUGGCUUAGAAGCAGCCAUCAUUUAAAGAAAGCGUAAUAGCUCACUGGUCGAGUCGGCCUGCGCGGAAGAUGUAACGGGGCUAAACCAUGCACCGAAGCUGCGGCAGCGACACUAUGUGUUGUUGGGUAGGGGAGCGUUCUGUAAGCCUGUGAAGGUGGCCUGUGAGGGUUGCUGGAGGUAUCAGAAGUGCGAAUGCUGACAUAAGUAACGAUAAAGCGGGUGAAAAGCCCGCUCGCCGGAAGACCAAGGGUUCCUGUCCAACGUUAAUCGGGGCAGGGUGAGUCGACCCCUAAGGCGAGGCCGAAAGGCGUAGUCGAUGGGAAACAGGUUAAUAUUCCUGUACUUGGUGUUACUGCGAAGGGGGGACGGAGAAGGCUAUGUUGGCCGGGCGACGGUUGUCCCGGUUUAAGCGUGUAGGCUGGUUUUCCAGGCAAAUCCGGAAAACCAAGGCUGAGGCGUGAUGACGAGGCACUACGGUGCUGAAGCGACAAAUGCCCUGCUUCCAGGAAAAGCCUCUAAGCAUCAGGUAACAUCAAAUCGUACCCCAAACCGACACAGGUGGUCAGGUAGAGAAUACCAAGGCGCUUGAGAGAACUCGGGUGAAGGAACUAGGCAAAAUGGUGCCGUAACUUCGGGAGAAGGCACGCUGAUAUGUAGGUGAAGCGACUUGCUCGUGGAGCUGAAAUCAGUCGAAGAUACCAGCUGGCUGCAACUGUUUAUUAAAAACACAGCACUGUGCAAACACGAAAGUGGACGUAUACGGUGUGACGCCUGCCCGGUGCCGGAAGGUUAAUUGAUGGGGUUAGCGGCAACGCGAAGCUCUUGAUCGAAGCCCCGGUAAACGGCGGCCGUAACUAUAACGGUCCUAAGGUAGCGAAAUUCCUUGUCGGGUAAGUUCCGACCUGCACGAAUGGCGUAAUGAUGGCCAGGCUGUCUCCACCCGAGACUCAGUGAAAUUGAACUCGCUGUGAAGAUGCAGUGUACCCGCGGCAAGACGGAAAGACCCCGUGAACCUUUACUAUAGCUUGACACUGAACAUUGAGCCUUGAUGUGUAGGAUAGGUGGGAGGCUUUGAAGUGUGGACGCCAGUCUGCAUGGAGCCGACCUUGAAAUACCACCCUUUAAUGUUUGAUGUUCUAACGUUGGCCCGUAAUCCGGGUUGCGGACAGUGUCUGGUGGGUAGUUUGACUGGGGCGGUCUCCUCCUAAAGAGUAACGGAGGAGCACGAAGGUUGGCUAAUCCUGGUCGGACAUCAGGAGGUUAGUGCAAUGGCAUAAGCCAGCUUGACUGCGAGCGUGACGGCGCGAGCAGGUGCGAAAGCAGGUCAUAGUGAUCCGGUGGUUCUGAAUGGAAGGGCCAUCGCUCAACGGAUAAAAGGUACUCCGGGGAUAACAGGCUGAUACCGCCCAAGAGUUCAUAUCGACGGCGGUGUUUGGCACCUCGAUGUCGGCUCAUCACAUCCUGGGGCUGAAGUAGGUCCCAAGGGUAUGGCUGUUCGCCAUUUAAAGUGGUACGCGAGCUGGGUUUAGAACGUCGUGAGACAGUUCGGUCCCUAUCUGCCGUGGGCGCUGGAGAACUGAGGGGGGCUGCUCCUAGUACGAGAGGACCGGAGUGGACGCAUCACUGGUGUUCGGGUUGUCAUGCCAAUGGCACUGCCCGGUAGCUAAAUGCGGAAGAGAUAAGUGCUGAAAGCAUCUAAGCACGAAACUUGCCCCGAGAUGAGUUCUCCCUGACUCCUUGAGAGUCCUGAAGGAACGUUGAAGACGACGACGUUGAUAGGCCGGGUGUGUAAGCGCAGCGAUGCGUUGAGCUAACCGGUACUAAUGAACCGUGAGGCUUAACCUUACAACGCCGAAG
rnacentral:rRNA from 1 species